AAUUUUUGACCAUGGGGGGAACCCCGAUCCAGCCAUGCCACGGUUGUGAAGAAGGUCUUUGUAUUGUAAAACACUUUAUGAUGGGAGGAAGAGUUGUAGGCUAAUACCUUGCAAUUUUGACGUUACUAACUGAAUAAGCACCGGCUAACUUCGUGCCAGCACCCGCGGUAAUACGAAGGGUGCAAGCGUUAAUCGGAAUUACUGUGGGUAAAGCGGGCGUAGGUGGUACGUUAAGUUGGAAGUGAAAGCCCCGGGCUUAACCUGAGAAUUGCGUUCAAAACUGACGAGCUAGAGUACGGUAGAGGGUAGUGGAAUUUCCUGUGUAGCGGUGAAAUGCGUAGAUAUAGGAAGGAACAUCAGUGGCGAAGGCGACUACCUGGACUGAUACUGACACUGAGGUGCGAAAGCGUGGGGAGCAAACAGG
rnacentral:rRNA from 1 species